UACGUAGGGAGCAGGCGUUGUUCGGAUUUACUGGGCGUAAAGGGCGCGUAGGCGGCAUAUUAAGUCAUCUGUGAAAUCUCCGAGCUUAACUCGGAACUGUCAGCUGAUACUGAUGUGCUAGAGUGCGGAAGGGGCAAUCGGAAUUCUUGGUGUAGCGGUGAAAUGCGUAGAUAUCAAGAGGAACACCUGAGGUGAAGACGGGUUGCUGGGCCGACACUGACGCUGAGUGCGCGAAAGCCAGGGGAGCAAACGGG
rnacentral:rRNA from 1 species